rnacentral:lncRNA from 1 species
CUCUUCUGUCACAUUUACAAUAUUUAUUCUGCAUUCCUUGCUGUCAUGAGUCUCAGCCUAGAGUGCGCACGCUGGCCAAAGUCACAGCCUGCUGUGGUCUGCAGCUUCAGGCCUCAUUUACAAGAGGAAUUAAUUAUUUUCUUCUCUAGGAUUUAGAGCAGGGAUGGGCAAUAACUCCAUGAAUUUUGGCGCUGAAGGAGAUGACAGUGCAAGAACCACAGGAUUUUUGAAAACAGGCACCAUUUCAGAAAGCAGAAAAGCAGCUGUCUGCAGGCUCCACUGCCAGUGGGUAAAGGACUCUUUGAAAGUUUGGCCCCAUGUAGAUGCCAUGUAUGAUGUUUAGGGAAUGCUGCAGGUUGAGCUAUUCACUGAGGUGCCUGAGGAGUAUAUACCUGGGGGCUGAAAGUUCUUAUCCCUGACAGUCUGGAAAGGUGAGUUUCCAGCUGAUCACACUUUAUUUUGUACGUUUUGGGAGGGAAAGGUUUAUUGCACAUGUGCCUAGAGCAGGGGUGGCUAAAUUCUGGCUUGCAAGCCACUUGCGACUCUUUUACUGUUAAAGUGCAGCUUAUGGAGCCCCCCAAAUUCUCCACUUACCAGACUGAGAGCAGGGAGCUCGGGGCUUCUGCCCUGCAACAGGACAUUUG